rfam:Triticum aestivum genome assembly, contig: Triticum_aestivum_CS42_TGACv1_scaffold_321810_4BL
CUACUACUCCCUCUGUCCGAAAAUACUUGUCAUCAAAAUGAAUAAAAGGGGAUGUAUGUAGAUGUAUUUUAAUUCUAAAUACAUCUUUUUUUGUCCAUUUUGAUGACAAGUAUUUUCGGACGGAGGAAGUACAUC